rnacentral:rRNA from 1 species
UACGAAGGGGGCGAGCGUUGUUCGGAUUUACUGGGCGUAAAGGGCGCGCAGGCGGCUCAUUUUGUCAGGCGUGAAAGCCCCGGGCUUAACCUGGGAACUGCGUUUGAUACGGAUGGGCUAGAGUUCGGUAGAGGAGAGUGGAAUUCCCAGUGUAGAGGUGAAAUUCGUAGAUAUUGGGAAGAACACCGGUGGCGAAGGCGGCUCUCUGGACCGAUACUGACGCUGAGGCGCGAAAGCGUGGGGAGCAAACAGG